rnacentral:lncRNA from 1 species
CCCGGGGCUGCCCAGGGCUGCGGGCUCCAGGCACCCAGAGCGCUGCGACCACAUGAAAGGCCCGGCGCUCAGCACCCGCCAGCCACCUCCAGCUGGUUUCUAACUACACCGCCGGGGCCUCCAUGCUUCUCAGAGACCAGCCUUCGAAGUGCCGCCUUACACCCGGGGCCUGGCCACCGGGCGGGCGCGGAUGGAGCUCUGGUCCACAUUUGGGAGCUCACAGUUGUUCCUGCCAGGAACCAGCCAGAACAGGAGGCAGCCAGGGAGAGGGGAGCCAGGGAGAACACAGCCUCAGUCCUGGAAGGAGAGGGCCUGCUGGGAAGAACAGAACCCAGCUGUCUUGGCCCCAGAUGUGGAAGCUGAGACUUAAAGAAGCUAUGAAACUUGAUCAGGUCAUGCAGCGCCAGAGGACCCAAGGUGGGAUCUCAACCCAGACUGUUUGGCUCCAAAGCUGAACUGCUACAUUACGUUGCUUCAGCAAACAGUCAUUCAGAGACAAUGGGCUUUAGAGGAGUUUAGUGAUGUUACUAACAAACAUAAGUACCUUGUACUAACCUCCUGGUGCCCAAGUGUUUGAGGUGAGAAAAACUGAAACAUGAAAAGCCCAGAGAGGUAAAGUGACUGGCUCAAGCAAAUACAGGCUCCAGCUGCAGCCACUUUGAAGAUAAAGUUUCCUCCAUAGAAAUUCUGCAAUACAGAUGUCCUUCCGCGGUCCCAGUUCAGUCCUGCACCAGUUCCUUUUCCCACUGGGAAAUUUCUUUCCUCUUCCUACUUCCAUGCAACUGCGAGGCAAGGCUCAAGCCCACUUCCUUCUCCUUUUCCUGUGCCUCCCUGUGGAGGGAGCUCCCUCUUCUUC